rfam:Pristionchus pacificus strain PS312 contig3244, whole genome shotgun sequence.
UCCCAUGUGGUCUAGUGGUUAGGAUUUCUAGUUUUCACCCAGGCGGCCCGGAUUCGAUUUCCGGCAUGGGAA